rnacentral:rRNA from 1 species
UACGUAGGGUGCUAGCGUUGUCCGGAAUUAUUGGGCGUAAAGAGCUCGUAGGCGGUCUGUCGCGUCUGCUGUGAAAACUCAGGGCUUAACCCUGAGCUUGCAGUGGGUACGGGCAGACUAGAGUGCGGUAGGGGAGACUGGAAUUCCUGGUGUAGCGGUGAAAUGCGCAGAUAUCAGGAGGAACACCGGUGGCGAAGGCGGGUCUCUGGGCCGUAACUGACGCUGAGGAGCGAAAGCGUGGGGAGCGAACAGG